rnacentral:rRNA from 1 species
AAUCAACGCUGGCGGCGUGCCUAACACAUGCAAGUCGAACGCGAAAGUCCCGCAAGGGAUUAGUAGAGUGGCAAACGGGUGAGUAACACGUGGGUGACCUGCCUUCGAGCGGGGGAUAACGUUCCGAAAGGAACGCUAAUACCGCAUAACAUCCUGCCUUUUAAGAGGCGGUGAUCAAAGCCGGGGAUUCGCAAGAACCUGGCACUUGAAGAGGGGCCCGCGCCUGAUUAGCUAGUUGGGGGGUAAUGGCCUACCAAGGCAACGAUCAGUAUCCGGCCUGAGAGGGGCGGACGGACACACUGGGACUGAGACACGGCCCAGACUCCUACGGGAGGCAGCAGUGGGGAAUUGUUCGCAAUGGGCGCAAGCCUGACGACGCAACGCCGCGUGGAGGAUGAAGACCU